rnacentral:rRNA from 1 species
AACGCGAAGAACCUUACCUGGGCUCGAACGGCUGGUCAACGGCGGUGGAAACACCGCUACUCCGCAAGGGGGUCCAGUCGAGGUGCUGCAUGGCUGUCGUCAGCUCGUGUCGUGAGAUGUUGGGUUAAGUCCCGCAACGAGCGCAACCCUCGUCCUGUGUUGCCACCCGCAAGGGGGCACUCGCAGGAGACCGCCAGCGAUAAGCUGGAGGAAGGUGGGGAUGACGUCAAGUCCUCAUGGCCUUUAUGUCCAGGGCUACACACGUGCUACAAUGGCCGGUACAAAGCGUUCCCAAGCCGCGAGGUGGAGGCAAUCGCAAAAAACCGGUCUCAGUUCGGAUUGCAGGCUGCAACUCGCCUGCAUGAAGCUGGAAUCGCUAGUAAUGGCAGAUCAGCACGCUGCCGUGAAUACGUUCCCGGGCCUUGUACGCACCGUAGUAC